rnacentral:tRNA from 1 species
UCGUGGCGAAGUGGUUAACGCACCGGAUUGUGGCUCCGGCAUCACGGGUUCGAUUCCCGUCGGU